AUGCUGUUUUACGUAAAAGCAGUUUGAAGAGAAUAUUCUUAUUAAUCCAAUAAAAAUAUAAUACUUAUUGGACAGUAUAUUUUUUUAAAUAAAAUAACUGUAUUUGUAUUCAAUUUAAUUACUAAAAUUGCAAAUCAAACUAAAACUUGUAACGGUGCCAUUACUUAACCUAACUAUCAAUGCUCCGUUUAAUAACUUAUUCCAAAAUGAUACUUAAGAAGACAGAAAUAUUGUCAAAUAUAUAUUUGUCUAUAUCAUUUCAAGCAAGCAAACAUUAACAGAUAUAGAACCAUAUUAUCAUUUCUCCAUCUAUUGAAAAUUUUCUUGAAUCCUCUACAAUAAAAUUUUUCAUAUUAAAACAUUCAAAUAGUGUAUUGAAACAAUGUCCUAUUUGCGUUGAUAAUUUACGUAGAUAUAAAUAACAUCGCUAGCUACAUAAAUUAUCGAUGCAAAUAAAGAAGAGCUAACAAUAAUUUGUUAAAUUUGACAAAUUACUGUUAGCUCCUCUUUGAUGAUAGCGUAUAUUUUAAUCUUAUUCCGCAAAUAUUAAGAAAAAUAACGAAUUAUAAUAAUCAUAAUUUUAAGUCAAAAUGAUGCGCAUAUGGAAGGACAUACUGUCGCUUUCCCUUAUUAACUCAUUAUGACAAUCACGUAAUAAAUUCAAAAUAAACUAUACCAAUAAUAACAACAUUGAACAAUAACUAAACGAUUAUUGUUCAAAUAUUACUACUAGUUAAAUUCAAACAGAUAAUAUAGGCAGUGAUUAUAGUUACAGUAAUUAUGUGAUGGAUCGUACUUAUGUUUUAAAUUAUGACAAGUGUUUCAGAUUGUUUAUCUUGAUGAUGAUAAAUGUAUUUAGAACAGUGAUUUCCAAAGUAGUCAGUAUCGACCCCUUGGGAUCGAUAAGAAUCUUCAAAUCGAUCGAUAAUAGUUUUAAUAGAUCACUUGAUGUUUUACUGGUAUUCAUAUAUUUCUGGCUAUUUCCAGAAAUAGUAGUAUUUUCGAUAUUUCUUCUAAAAUAUAAAAUAUCCAUAGCUUAUUAUAUUGCAAAAAUUUAAUUUGAAAAAUCUAAAAAAUAUGCAGUUAAAUUUUUAUUUAUUAUAUAGUUCCCAGAACUUUACUAUUUCAUUGUUUUCU
rnacentral:lncRNA from 1 species